CCCGGGAAUAGGAUGCUAGUGUAUUCUGCCCAGUGUGGGUAAGACAUCAACGGCCGCAGUACACUGACUGUGCUAAGGUAGCAUAAUCAAUUGUCAUUUAAUUGAUGACUAGAAUGAAAGAAAUGUUGGGUUUCGGCUGUCUCUUUUUUUGUUUUUCAAAUUUGCUUUAAGAAGUGAAAAGACUUCUGAGUACAAACAAAAGACGAGAAGACCCUUAGAGUUUUUAAAACGGGAAAAAGAUUUUUCAGUAUUUUUUGUUGGGGCAACAAAGUAGCAGCUGGAACCUACUUCCUCUUUUAUUAUUACACGGCGAGCAGUGUUAAGCAAGAACAAGCUACCUAAGGGAUAACAGCAUAAUUUUAUAUAAAGUUUGUGACCUCGAUGUUGGACUAGGAACUAAUUAAGUUAGAAGUUUAAUUGUAUGGUUCUGUUCGAACUAAAAUUCCUACGUGAUCUGAGUCCC
rnacentral:rRNA from 1 species